rnacentral:rRNA from 1 species
GAUGAACGCUGGCGGCGUGCCUAAUACAUGCAAGUCGAGCGAACAGACGAGGAGCUUGCUCCUCUGACGUUAGCGGCGGACGGGUGAGUAACACGUGGAUAACCUACCUAUAAGACUGGGAUAACUUCGGGAAACCGGAGCUAAUACCGGAUAAUAUAUUGAACCGCAUGGUUCAAUAGUGAAAGACGGUUUUGCUGUCACUUAUAGAUGGAUCCGCGCCGCAUUAGCUAGUUGGUAAGGUAACGGCUUAGCAAGGCGACGAUGCGUAGCCGACCUGAGAGGGUGAUCGGCCACACUGGAACUGAGACACGGUCCAGGCUCCUACGGGAGGCAGCAGUAGGGAAUCUUACGCAAUGGGCGAAAGCCUGACGGAGCAACGCCGCGUGAGUGAUGAAGGUCUUCGGAUCGUAAAACUCUGUUAUUAGGGAAGAACAAAUGUGUAAGUAACUAUGCACGUCUUGACGGUACCUAAUCAGAAAGCCACGGCUAACUACGUG